rnacentral:tRNA from 1 species
UGGCUCAGACAGUAAAGCGUCUGCCUGCAAUGCAGGAGACCCGGGUUUGAUUCCUGG